rnacentral:rRNA from 1 species
UCCUACGGGGCGCAGCAGUGGGGAAUAUUGCACAAUGGGCGCAAGCCUGAUGCAGCGACGCCGCGUGAGCGAAGAAGUAUUUCGGUAUGUAAAGCUCUAUCAGCAGGGAAGAAAAUGACGGUACCUGACUAAGAAGCUCCGGCUAAAUACGUGCCAGCAGCCGCGGUAAUACGUAUGGAGCAAGCGUUAUCCGGAAUUACUGGGUGUAAAGGGAGCGUAGACGGAUCUGCAAGUCUGAUGUGAAAGGCGGGGGCUCAACUCCUGGACUGCAUUGGAAACUGUAGAUCUUGAGUGCCGGAGAGUUA